rnacentral:rRNA from 1 species
AGAGUUUGAUCCUGGCUCAGAAUGAACGCUGGCGGCGUGCUUAACACAUGCAAGUCGCACGAGAACGCUUCAGCUUGCUGGAGCUAGUAAAGUGGCGCACGGGUGAGUAACGCGUGGGUAAUCUACCUCCGAAUUGGGGAUAACACUGCGAAAGCGGUGCUAAUACCGAAUGACAACCCAGAGACCUUGGUUUCGGGGAUCAAAGGUGGCCUCUACAUGUAAGCUACUGUUUGGAGAUGAGCCCGCGUACCAUUAGCUAGUUGGUAGGGUAAUGGCCUACCAAGGCUGCGAUGGUUAGCUGGUCUGAGAGGAUGAUCAGCCACACUGGAACUGACACACGGUCCAGACUCCUACGGGAUGCAGCAGUGAGGAAUUUUGCGCAAUGGGGGAAACCCUGACGCAGCAACGCCGCGUGAGUGAUGAAGGCUUUCGGGUCGUAAAGCUCUGUCAAGUGGGAAGAAUAUGCCCUGUGAUAAUACCAUGGGGCACUGACAGUACCUGAAGAAUAAGCACCGGCUAACUACGUGCCAGCAGCCGCAGUAAUACGUAGGGUGCAAGCGUUAAUCGGAAUUACUGGGCGUAAAGCGUGCGCAGGCGGUUAUGCAAGACAGAUGUGAAAUCCCCGGGCUUAACCUGGGAACUGCAUUUGUGACUGCAUAGCUAGAGUGCGGCAGAGGGGGAUGGAAUUCCGCGUGUAGCAGUGAAAUGCGUAGAUAUGCGGAGGAACACCGAUGGCGAAGGCAAUCCCCUGGGCCUGCACUGACGCUCAUGCACGAAAGCGUGGGGAACAAACAGGAUUAGAUACCCUGGUAGUCCACGCCCUAAACGAUGUCAACUGGUUGUUGGAAGGGUUCCCUUUCAGUAACGAAGCUAACGCGUGAAGUUGACCGCCUGGGGAGUACGGCCGCAAGGUUGAAACUCAAAGGAAUUGACGGGGACCCGCACAAGCGGUGGAUGAUGUGGUUUAAUUCGAUGCAACGCGAAAAACCUUACCUACCCUUGACAUGUCUGGAAUUUCGCAGAGAUGUGAAAGUGCUCGAAAGAGAACCAGAACACAGGUGCUGCAUGGCCGUCGUCAGCUCGUGUCGUGAGAUGUUGGGUUAAGUCCCGCAACGAGCGCAACCCUUGUCAUUAGUUGCUACGAAAGGGCACUCUAAUGAGACUGCCGGUGACAAACCGGAGGAAGGUGGGGAUGACGUCAGGUCCUCAUGGCCCUUAUGGGUAGGGCUACACACGUCAUACAAUGGCCGGUACAGAGGGCUGCCAACCCGCGAGGGGGAGCUAAUCCCAGAAAACCGGUCGUAGUCCGGAUCGCAGUCUGCAACUCGACUGCGUGAAGUCGGAAUCGCUAGUAAUCGCGGAUCAGCUUGCCGCGGUGAAUACGUUCCCGGGUCUUGUACACACCGCCCGUCAC